rnacentral:misc_RNA from 1 species
GAAAUGCGAUAAGUAAUGUGAAUUGCAGAAUUCAGUGAAUCAUCGAAUCUUUGAACGCACAUUGCGCCCGCCAGUAUUCUGGCGGGCAUGCCUGUUCGAGCGUCAUUUCAACCAUCAAGCCCCAGGCUUGUGUUGGGGACCUGCGGCUGCCCGCAGGCCCUGAAAAACAGUGGCGGGCUCGCUGUCACACCGAGCGUAGUAGCAUACAUUCUCGCUCAGGGCGUGCUGCGGGUUCCGGCCGUUAAACGACCUUCAUAACCCAAGGUUGACCUCGGAUCAGGUAGGAAGACCCGCUGAACUUA